rnacentral:lncRNA from 1 species
GCGUGGUUUGAUGAGCGGUGCCGUGUCCGAGCCCAGGAUCCGAACCUUCCAAGCCCCGGGCCGCUGAAGCGGAGCGUGCAAACUCAACCGCUCGGCCACGGGGUCAGCCCCUUCCUUCCUUCCUUCCUUCCUUCCUUCCUUCCUUCCUUCCUUCCUUCCUUCCUAAGGAGGAGGAGGCAGGCACUGUGUGAAGUCGCCAGUGAGUCUGUGGAAAGAGACGGAGGAUUUCCCAUGGGAAGCCGGGGCGGGGGACACGGACCGAUGUCGUGCGAACUUGAAGGCUGGCGACUCGGCAGUGGAAGGCUAGGGGUUUCUUCCGAAAUGGUGAACCGGCCCCCUUGUCCACAGGAAAACCACACACGGGUACAGCCUAGGCCGGAUCUCAGGCCAAGUCGUCAGGGUGGCAAGAUGAUGGCGGAUGAGAGGAAACUUGUUCUGGGACCGCACCGCCCCCCCCCAUCGCCUCUCUGGCUGAGAAGAGGGCUGGGGAGCGGUGAGGGUCAGGGGGAGAGUGGGGGCGGGGCCGGGACAGGGACCACCGGGCAGUAGGACGGGAGUAGCCCUGAGGCCUGCCUGCCUGCUUCCUUCCCUGCCGGCGCAGGGCUGAGAGAGGCACGGGGCACGCUGGCUCCUGCCCCUUCACUCAUUCGGGAAGCCUCCUGUUGUUGCUCCUGAGGUGCCGGCUGCGGUGACAGACAGAGCAAAACUCCUCUCUCUGUCUAUUUCUUCAAAGGCCCGAGUCUGAGCUACGACAGAUUCCCCUGUGGCUCAACCCGCAACCUCCCAUCCUGCCAGACCAGACCCCUUGUCUAAAAACCUCCACUGGAGGAGCUCUUCCACCUGACUCGGAAAGGAAACACCAGCC